UGCCAGAAUUCAAAAAAGGGGGGAGGCGAUCUCUGGAGACCAAAACAACUCGAAUCCGAUAUCAUGGAUUUUUUCGGCCCUCUUUCAUUCGCUCCGAUCACCACCACGCAGAAACUCCAUAAAAUUUAAUGUGAUUAUUGAAGGAAUAAGAAUCAGAAAGAAGAACUUUUGAUCGAUCUCUUGAGACCUUAAAAAAAACUUCGCUGGGAUUGGAGAUUGAUUACGUCAGAGAUGAUGAUGGAUGGAUUGAAUUGGAGUGUCAACUCGGUUUAUCACAUUUAUGAAACAGUAAAUUUAUUUUAUUUUUUAUAUUUAAAUUUUAGAUAAAUAUUUUCACAC